AAAAUAAAUAAAUAAAUAAAUAAUAAAAAAGUAAAGGCAAAAUUGUCACAGAAAGAGCAGAAGCAGAAGCAGCAGCAGCUGCUGCUAUUGGAAGCCCUCUUUUGCCUUUUUUAUUUUCACUCUCUCUCUCUCUCUCUCUCUCUUAGAUUCAUUUGCUCAAAAUAUUUUUAUUUGUUUACACUAAUUUAAGAAAAAGCUUCAAAUACUAUCUCUAUUGUUCAGUGAUUAUUCUGUAGUAAUAAUCUCACUUAUAUUUGCUUUUGAAACUUAUGAGCAAAUCAUGUAAAGACAUGCUAACAAGGAUCCUUAGUUCUAGAGAUACUAACAUUAUUGGAGCUGAAGAGGUUUAGUAUAAAAAUAUGUUGUAUGGAUACUCUGGUUUGUCUAGAUUUUUAGAGGUGGGGUAAAUAGAAGGAAAUAAGAGCAAAAGAUAGGCCCUGAGAAAUAGCUUGUUUGAUUGAGCUUGUGGAGUUACAUUCACAAUAGAAGAUUAAAAAAUUGAAUAAAAUAUACGUUUGUUAUGCCAGGUACAUGCUCUUAGCAACCCUUAGCCACUGCUGUUGUCAUUUGUCGAGCUGAAUGAAACUAUAUAUCACGGAGGGGAUAAAUUUGGAUGGGAGUAUAACAUGUGUUAGACAACAGAUUGUAAAUUUGUGAAUGUUCUUUCAGACUCCUUUUAUAUAAUUUUGAGUUGCUUAGAAGUCCCUGCCAAAGGAGAAUUGCCCUGCUAUUCUACCCCACAAUCACUUCUUUGUAUGAUAUUUAUUAACAAGCAUAGAUAUGGGUAUGUAUGCAACUCAUUGAUCAUUGAUCACAGAGGUAUUUAUGUCGACUAUUAUGCACACGGAUAGUUUGCUGUUCUUAUAUAUGUGCUGCUAAUGCUAUCUACUUGUAGGACUUCAGCUUUAAACAACACUUCUUGUUGAAAGUAGUUGGGGACAACAUAAUCAUGAAUCUCCAACUCUAUUCCUACAGCAAAGAGAUCCUAAAGCAUGAGAUUACUAACUAGCAUGCGAAUCUUUAAGGUUGUACAAUGUUGGUCCCAACUCUUUCAUCUUUUCUAUCUUAUUGUAGUCUUUGAUCAAAGUUUCAAGGGUUCAAUGUGGCAGCGCAGCUAGUAUAAAAGAAUUCUCUUUCAUCUGUUUCCCUCUUUUUUCAAUGUCAUGGUUAUCGCGAUGGAUCUCUAUUCAUGCAUUUGAAGUUUUUGUUUUUAUUUUUGUUUUUUGUUUUUUUUUGGGGUUUUAUAUUGCUUCCACAUUCAAUCCGGUGUAAUUUUGUGGUUUGUUCUUGGAAAUCGAAGUGUGUUAGCUAAAUCACGGUGGAUUGAAUCUGAUAAAGAUUAAUCUGAUUCAUUUUUCUGUAGUAUUUAGUGUUUUGAGCUGUGCUCACAUGGUAAUUACUUUGAGGAGCUGUUGCUACUUGUUUUGCCGUGUUGAGAUAAAGCUUGUAGGCUCUAGUACAAACACCUUUUUCUUCAUGCUUAAAAGUGUAAAUUGAUCCAGUGUUUGCAAGGUCGGGGCCAACUUACAGAGAAAAAGAGAAUGAAACUUUAGAAUUGUUUCCAAAAUCCUGCUCUUACAGUUCUAUGUGAUUAGAUUAUAUUGGUUGAUUACGUUUUUUCUUUAUGACGAUUUGUGAUGGUUGGGACACUUGCUCACACAAUUUGCGCAUUUUAUCAACUUUUCUGGUGGCACUUUUUGUUCCUCUUUUGUGUGACUCUUUUGUUUAAGGCGUGAACUACGUGCAGAAAUUUCGGCUUUUUACCUCCUGAGUAUAACCGUCACUCUGCUGUUGCUGAUUGGUUUACAAGGCUCUACUUCACGCGCAUGCAAUUGGGAAACCCGCCGAAGGAAUUCUACGUUCAAAUCGACACCGGAAGCGAUAUUUUGUGGGUGGCUUGCAACCCUGUAAUGGAUGCCCCACAUCCAGCGGAUUAAAUCAUGAUUCAACUGUGCAUCUUCGCACCGAAAGCGUGAGUCCCGCAUUACUUUCUAAAUCUGGUGUUCUUGGAGCCUCGCAGAGAGCCUUGUCGACACGAACCUGCUUCUUGAAGACUACGCUAGGCAUCCUCUUUACAGUGGUUGUGGGCCGGAGUAGGAAUUUGGGGAAGGCUGGGUGGUUCUAGACAUUACAACAAAUUUCUUUCAGGAUUUGAUUCCUUGUUCGUGAGUUUUUCAAGAUUUAUAAAAGGUGGUGACGAGAAAAAUUUUGGCAGGUCAUUGGCGAUGUAUUGAAUCAAGUUUAAGAAUUUAGACAUAUUUUGAAAACUUUACAUUUGAUAGCAGGUGGAAAUGACAAAAACACUAUUAUUAUGUUUUGUUUUUUUGUUGUGUUAGGUGAUUGUAUUAGGUGACAUUAAUACAAUGAUACUCUAACAUGAUUCUUGUGAGACAAUUUAAGUUACUUAGUUUGAUUCAAUCUUACUUAA